GACGAACGCUGGCGGCGUGCCUAAUACAUGCAAGUCGAACGCAGUGGGGACGGGUGAGUAACACGUGGGUAACCUCCCAUCAGAGGGGAUAACACUUGGCAACAGGUGCUAAACCCACAUCGAUGGAGGGACUCGCGGUGCAUUAGCUAGUUGGUGAGGUAACGGCUCACCAAGUCAACGAUGCAUAGCCGACCUGAGAGGUUGAUCGGCCACACUGGGACUGAGACACGGCCCAGACUCCUACGGGAGGCAGCAGUAGGGAAUCUUCGGCAAUGGACGAAAGUCUGACCGAGCAACUCCGCGUGAGUGAAGAAGGUUUUCGGGUCGUAAAACUCUGUUGUUAGAGAAGCGGUAUCUAACCAGAAAGCCACGGCUAACUACGUGCCAGCAGCCGCGGUAAUUC
rnacentral:rRNA from 1 species